rnacentral:rRNA from 1 species
AUUGAACGCUGGCGGCAUGCCUAACACAUGCAAGUCGAACGGUAGCAUUUCUAGCUUGCUAGAAGAUGACGAGUGGCGAACGGGUGAGUAACGCGUAGGAAUAUACCUUUUUGUGGGGGGACAACUUUAGGAAACUGAAGCUAAUACCGCAUAAUAUCUUCGGAUUAAAGCUGGGGACCUUCGGGCCUGGUGCAAAAAGAUUAGCCUGCGUCCGAUUAGCUAGUUGGUAAGGUAAAGGCUUACCAAGGCGACGAUCGGUAGCUGGUCUGAGAGGAUGAUCAGCCACACUGGGACUGAGACACGGCCCAG